GAUGAACGCUGACAGAAUGCUUAACACAUGCAAGUCUUUGGCGAAGCUGUGCUUGCACAGCCUAGCCAAGGCGGACGGGUGAGUAACGCGUAAGGAACUUGCCCUGCAGUCAGGGAUAACAGACGGAAACGACUGAUAAGACCUGGUAAAGUCAGGCGGACUCAUGUCCAGCCUGAUGAAAAGAGAUGCUGCAGGCGAGCCUUGCGUCCUAUUAGCUUGUUGGUGGGGUAACGGCCCACCAAGGCGAUGAUAGGUAGCCGGCCUGAGAGGGUGGACGGCCACAAGGGGACUGAGAUACGGCCCUUACUCCUACGGGAGGCAGCAGUGGGGAAUAUUGGACAAUGGGGGCAACCCUGAUCCAGCAAUUCUGUGUGCACGAUGAAGGUUUUCGGAUUGUAAAGUGCUUUCAGCAGGGAAGAAAAAAUGACGGUACCUGCAGAAGAAGCGACGGCUAAAUACGU
rnacentral:rRNA from 1 species